rnacentral:lncRNA from 1 species
AUGCGGAAAUCACAGGAGGACGCGGAACCCGCAAGCAAAUAUGGAGGGCCAACUCGGGGACUUGAGCAUCAGGGGAUUUUGGUAUCCUUAUCGGGGCGGUUCCUGGAAGCAAGUCCCCACGAGUCUCAUGGACUGCUGCGUUAUUCGCGUUGGAGCAUCCCUGCUACUUCCCAGGAGCUCUCAGGACACACGGAACUAGUGAGUGAAACGGAUGCAGCAGCUGACGCUGUAGAGCUUGCACGCUACUGCAGGAAAGACGGACAAGAGGCAAGUGAAGACGUGGAAAACAAAGAAGGGGGCAUGUGGAGUGCUGGAGUAGAUGUGGAGGUCUGUUUUAAAAGAGGAGGGUCAGGAAAGGCUCUCCAGUAACUUGCUGUUUACAUAUCAUCUUAAAGGACGAGAGCUCUAUGGAUCGGACGAGAGGGGGUCAUUUGAGGCGGAGGAGAAACGCAUGCAAAGGCUCUGAGCUGUGAGCGUGUUUAAUGUUUUUCAGGACCCACAUGCAAAGCGCUGUGGCUGAAGUAGAACAAGUGAGGAACAAAGUGAUGGAAGAGGAGGUCAGAAGGGAAUGAGGUCCAUGUGCAUGUGUGGGCACAAAAUGGAGACUUGCAGGCCAUGGAAGGCCUUUCGUUUUCUCUCUGAGUGAG